UUUUUUGUCUUUUUAGGGCCUCACCUGUGGCAUAUGGAUGUUCCCAGGCUAGGGACUGAACCAGAGGUACAGCUGCCAGCCUACGCCAAGCUGCAGACACGCAGGAUCUGAGCCUCAUCCGUGACCUACACCACAGCUCACAGCAAUGCCGGAUCCCCUGCCUGCUGAGCAAGGCCAGGGAUCAAACCCACUUCCUUAUGGAUAUGAGUCGGGUUCGUUACCGCUGACCCAUGAUGGGAACUCCCUGCCUGUCGGUUCUGCCACGACUUAGGGCUCUCAGAAGGAAGGCUGGCAAGGCUGGGAAAAGAGGGGAAAACCACAAAGGUUAUGGCUGGUCAGGGUGGAGCAGGUGGUGAGGAAGUGGCCCUGGUGGAUUUAUGUGGAGGCAGAUUGCCCAGUUCCCUGGACUGACAGGUUGCUGGGAAGAAGACGGGAGAGGUGCUGGCCUCCUCAGGCCCCAAGGCUAGGGUUACAUGAUGACCCCCACUCGGGGCCCCUUGGACUGGGGGGUGGAGGCUAAGGCUGGGUUUUGGCCCUCCGCCCCUGCAUACACCUAAUAGAGGGCUCUGGCCUCUUUAACCAAUCAAUAUUUAUGCAGCAUUGAAAAGGCAGCUGAGGAGUUCCCUUUGUGGCUCAGUGGUUAACAAACCCGACUCGGAUCCGUGAGGACACGGGUUCGAUCCCUGGCCCUGCUCGCUGGGUUAAGGAUCAGUGUUGCUGUGAGCUGUGGUGUAGGUGCAGAUGGAGCUCAGAUCCCGUGUGACUGUGGCUGUGAUGAAGGCCGGCAGCUGCAGCUCUGAUUCGACCCCUAGCCCGGGAAUCUCCAUAUCCUGCGGGUGUGGCCCUAAAAAGACAAAAAAAGAAAAAUAAAAAAAGAAAGAAAAGGCAGCUGACUAGGAAACAGGGCCCUGCAGGUGGCAGGGCUGUGCUCAAGGGUCUGGAACACAGACCCCUGGGCUUUCCCCUCACUCUGCAGAAGAGAGAGGUGUUGGGGCAUCAGGACUGGUUGCCCAGACUCUGGGCCCCUGGGUUCUCUGAUGGGUCUGUUCAAAAAAUCUAGGCCCAAACUCAGGAAAGAAGGGCCCAGUGGACACAAGCCCGCGCGUCCUCUUUGCAGGAGGGCACCCUGAAUGAAGGCCACCUUCUCCCCCUGCCCUUCCUCUGCCUCCUUCGGGCAAGGGCCCGCUCCUUUGUUUUCAUCAUGAAACUGAGGGUCAGAGGAAAGAGAGGGACUGAGUCCAGAGCGGGGUGAUGUGGGGCAAAGAGCAAGACACCAAGUCAGACGGGGGCAUUCACUAUCAGCUCUCGCAUGUGCCAAACAGCAGGACCCUGGGCCGAUGUUACUACCUGAACCCUCAGUGAUCCUCAUUUGCAAAACGGGCACAGUCCACCCUAAGCCCCACAGAGACGUUCCCUCAGUGACCUGACUUCCUGUGCCCAAGACCCCAGAGGGGCUCCCGCAGUGGACACUCUGCCCCAGGGCACCUGCUCCUUCCCUGCCCAGGUGGCUUUCACUUCUGCCCUCUCUAAGCCAAGUCGGCCCUUUGUGGGGCAAGACAGCAGGGGCCAGGCUAUGCUCCAAAAUAGUAGUGCCCACCAAAGUAUAAUGCCAGUCCCUAAGGAAUUUCAUAUGAAAAGCAGCCACAAGAAUAAAAAGAAAGAUGAUAUCGAUUUUAACAAUAUAGUAUUUUAUGUAACCAAACGUAUCCAACACAUCACCUCAACACACUAAAUAUAAAACAUACAAAAUCCAUAUUAAAAAUGAAUGAGUGGAGUUCCUGUUGUGGCUCAGUGGUAAUGAGCCUGACUAGUAUCCAUUAGAUAGUGGAUUCGAUCCCUGGCCUCAUUCAGUGGGUUAAGGAUUCGCUGUUGCUGUGAGCUGUGGUGCAGGUCACAGAUGUGGCUCCCCAUGUGGCUGUGGCUGUGGCGCAGGCCGGCAGCUACAGCUGUGAUUCAACCCCUAGCCUGGGAACUUCCAUAUGCUAUGGGUGCAGCCCUCAAAAAAGUUAAAAAAAGAAUGACUGAGCAAUCAACUAUAAUAAAUUUUUUAAUAAACUCUAAUAAAACACAUUUUAAAUGAGUGAGCUACCGUCAAUUCUUUUGUUCAUGCAGUCUUCUAAGCCUACCAUGUAUUUUUAGUUAGAACACAGCCCAAUUCAGACCAAGCCCCAUUUUCAGGGCUCCACAGUCAUGUGUGGCUAACAGCUACCAUAUUGGAAAGAGCAGAAUGGACGUUUCCAUUAUGGCAGAAAGUUCUACUGGACCGCGCAGCUGUCCUCCUUCAUUAAAUCCUGGGAGUUUCAGGCCCUUGGAGCUGGGGAGUGGCCUGGGUGGGGCUCCUCAUUCUGAAUUACCAAGGGGCUGAUUUCUCGGACAGCUGGGGGCAGACAGGAAAUACCUGUUUGUCUGCCUAUGAGAAAGCACCCCCCCCUUCUUCCUCAAGCUUGGGCAGGGCUGGGGGGUUUCCAUGACACCUGCAGAACCCAAAGCACUGUCCCCCAGGGAGCUGAAGCAACACCCAGACCACAGAAGAGAAAAAUCCAGCUUGGGGGGAUCAGGGGGGAGGGGGGAACCCAGAAGAUAAAGCCUGGCCCUCAGCAGGGCUCUGGGCAGCGUCUUAGCCAGAGAGACACCAAAGUUAGCGACUGCCCAGCAGAGGUCUAACCCAGGGGCUCCCAGCCGCGAGCCCCGAGACUGCCGCCUCUAGAGGAGACAGAUCUGGCUCCAGGUAUAUAGUCAAAUACCAAGUAGCUGUUAAAACUCUCAAUAUGCACAGCUUUUCUAAUAAAAACAUGCUUUGUUAAACCACCACACAAAGCUAGAAUUUUGUACCUAUACUACUUUCUAUCAUUGCAGCCAAGUCGGGUAAGUGUUAUUCCUUUGCUACAGCAUAUGGAGAUUCCCGGGCUAGGGGGUUGAAUCAGAGCUACAGCUGCCAGUCUACACCACAGCCACAGCAAUAUGGGGGGGCCGCAUCUGCGACCUACACCACAGCUUACCGCAAUGCUAGAUCCUUAACCUACUGAUCGAGGCCAGGGAUUGAACCUACAUCCUCGUGGAUACUAGUCAGGUUUGUUACUACUGUGCCAUGAUGGGAACUCCCCCAAAGUCAAAUUAACUUGCCCAAGAUGGCCCUGCCAGCAAGGGCCAAGGCCACACUGAGCCAAAGCCCACCAAACCCCAGGCUCCAAAUGUAUUACUAUUCCACUGCUUCCCAGUGUGUUUUAUGAGGGGGGGGGGCUAUUAUAUCAUCAAAAAGGAUCUUUGUGAUCUUUGUGGAGUUUCCACUUUGGUACAGUGGGUUAGUGAUCUGACUUGUCUCUGUGGAGGCACAGGCUUGAUCCCUAGCCCGGCCCAGUGGGUUAAGGAUCUAGUGUUGCUGCAGCUGUGGUGCAGGUCUGCAGCUGUGGUGUUGGUCAUUAAGUCCAGCUCAGAGUCGAUCCCUGGCCUGGGAACCUCCAUAUGCUGCUGAUGCAGCCGGAAAAAUCAAAAAUUUUUAAAAAGAGAAAAGAAGUGUCUUAGCUCUUUAAUUCCAUUCAUUACUAGAUGUAUAUCUGCUACAGACAAGGACAGGGAGGAAACCUGGAGAUGCAAAAACAGUUUAUAAAUUAGGUCAGGGCAGUAAGCCAAUUUUUUUUUUUUAACAUUAUUAUGCUGUUUAUGCAACUAUUUUUUUUUUUUUAAGGCAGCUAUCUCUGGAAAGAGGAAAAAAUGAGAAAAGUACCAAGAAAACCAUGCAGGUAGCUGUCCUGGUCACCCCCAAGGCCUGGAGUCCCCUACUCUCCACAGCAGGUGGGGCUGAAGCUUGAAAUAUGCAUGACACUUCCAGUGAGACUGAAAACACAAUUGUUUACUUCAAAGAACUAGAUGGAGGCAUGGCUGAUGCCAACCCUUUGGUGACACCAAUACCUGACACUAAGUGAGAGAAAC
rnacentral:lncRNA from 1 species